CAAAUGUUUUUCUCACAUCACCAUGUGUUGAUCCAGUCUAAAAACGGUACAGUUCAAGUUCACAGCAGUAAACAGAACAGCAGGUGUUAGCAAAGACACUACUCACCACUUCUUCAUACACAAGGUGAAUGCAUCACUUCAGUAAAAAUGCAGCAGCAGCAGCAACAUACACCGGUGACAUCCCAACACCGACGACAACCAAAGCCAAAGUCAAACCUGGAAGUCAAAGUUUUUACAGCCUUUACAUGACUUGAAGUCCAGGAAACUCACAGACCAGUUGCAUGGCUUGGAAAUCACUCAUAUGACACUACUCAGCCAAUCAAAUCUGAGUCUGGUGAGAAUCCACAUUUCGAUAACUGUAACCUGUAUCAAUACACUGCUUAGCAAUGUGAAAUCACAAAUAGUCAGGAAAAAGUAGCUGUUUUGGUAUAAUGACUACGUAGUCUGGAAUAUUUGUCUGCCUCGUUCUGGCUCUUUGUCUUUUUUCUCCUCAUCUCACCUUCUUUUUGCUGUCAGUCAAAAAGCACACUCAACAGCAAGAGUAUUUAUAAUGUGAUAAGAGGUAGGAGGAAGGGGACAAUCCAUAUACACUAACAUUAUUCUGAUUGAAUAUUGGGUUACUGUCAGCAAUGCAGUCAGGUAACAUAAAAACCUCACUCUGACCUAAGCCUGGCUGUUUUUGCUGAGAAAAAAAACAAACGUUUUAUCUCCAUCUAUGGUAAAACUGACAUUUCGUGAGGGUCAUAUAUGAAAGGCAAAAAUAAGAUAAAUAAAAUAUUUUGUUCCCCUCAGAGGGAAUGGGGAAAAUGAUAAAGAAAACUCUAAUAAUCAG